UAUGGGGGGACCAUCCUCCAAGGCUAAAUACUCCUGACUGACCGAUAGUGAACCAGUACCGUGAGGGAAAGGCGAAAAGAACCCCUGUGAGGGGAGUGAAAUAGAUCCUGAAACCGCAUGCAUACAAGCAGUGGGAGCACCUUCGUGGUGUGACUGCGUACCUUUUGUAUAAUGGGUCAGCGACUUAUAUUCAGUGGCGAGGUUAACCGAAUAGGGGAGCCGUAGAGAAAUCGAGUCUUAAUAGGGCGUCUAGUCGCUGGGUAUAGACCCGAAACCGGGUGAUCUAUCCAUGAGCAGGUUGAAGGUUGGGUAACACUAACUGGAGGACCGAACCCACCGUCGUUGAAAAGCCGGGGGAUGACUUGUGGAUAGGGGUGAAAGGCUAAUCAAACUCGGUGAUAGCUGGUUCUCCCCGAAAGCUAUUUAGGUAGCGCCUCGGACGAAUACCAUUGGGGGUAGAGCACUGUUUCGGCUAGGGGGUCAUCCCGACUUACCAAACCGAUGCAAACUCCGAAUACCAAUGAGUACUAUCCGGGAGACAGACUGCGGGUGCUAACGUCCGUAGUCAAGAGGAAAACAAUCCAGACCGCCAGCUAAGGCCCCAAAAUCAUAGUUAAGUGGGAAACGAUGUGGGAAGGCAUAGACAGCUAGGAGGUUGGCUUAGAAGCAGCCACCCUUUAAAGAAAGCGUAAUAGCUCACUAGUCGAGUCGGCCUGCGCGGAAGAUGUAACGGGGCUAAAACUAUGUGCCGAAGCUGCGGAUUUGACAUUAGUCAAGUGGUAGGGGAGCGUUCUGUAAGCCGAUGAAGGUGUAUUGAGAAGUAUGCUGGAGGUAUCAGAAGUGCGAAUGCUGACGUGAGUAACGACAAAACGGGUGAAAAACCCGUUCGCCGAAAGACCAAGGGUUCCAGUCCAACGUUAAUCGGGGCUGGGUGAGUCGACCCCUAAGGCGAGGCCGAAAGGCGUAGUCGAUGGGAAAUUGGUUAAUAUUCCAAUACUUCUGUGUAAUGCGAUGAGAGGACGGAGAAGGUUAAGUCAGCCUGGCGUUGGUUGUCCAGGUGGAAGGAUGUAGGUAUGUAUCUUAGGCAAAUCCGGGGUACUCUAUACUGAGAGUCGAUAGCAAGCUGUACUUGUACAGCGAAGUGGCUGAUACCAUGCUUCCAGGAAAAGUCUCUAAGCUUCAGUUACACAGGAAUCGUACCCGAAACCGACACAGGUGGUCAGGUCGAGUAGACCAAGGCGCUUGAGAGAACUCUGCUGAAGGAACUAGGCAAAAUGGUACCGUAACUUCGGGAGAAGGUACGCUGCUGAUGGUGAUAGGACUUGCUCCUUGAGCUGUCGGCAGCCGCAGAAACCAGGCCGCUGCAACUGUUUAUUAAAAACAUAGCACUCUGCAAACACGAAAGUGGACGUAUAGGGUGUGAUGCCUGCCCGGUGCUGGAAGGUUAAUUGAUGGGGUUAGCGUAAGCGAAGCUCUUGAUCGAAGCCCCAGUAAACGGCGGCCGUAACUAUAACGGUCCUAAGGUAGCGAAAUUCCUUGUCGGGUAAGUUCCGACCUGCACGAAUGGCAUAAUGAUGGCGGCGCUGUCUCCAGCAGAGGCUCAGUGAAAUCGAAAUCGCUGUGAAGAUGCAGUGUACCCGCGGCUAGACGGAAAGACCCCGUGAACCUUUACUGCAGCUUGACACUGAACUUUGACCUUACUUGUGUAGGAUAGGUGGGAGGCUUUGAAGUAGGGACGCCAGUUCCUAUGGAGCCAUCCUUGAAAUACCACCCUGGUAAUGUUGAGGUUCUAACUCUGACCCAUAAUCUGGGUCGAGGACCGUGUCUGGUGGGUAGUUUGACUGGGGCGGUCUCCUCCUAAAGAGUAACGGAGGAGUACGAAGGUGCGCUCAGCGUGGUCGGAAAUCACGCGUAGAGUAUAAAGGCAAAAGCGCGCUUAACUGCGAGACCCACAAGUCGAGCAGGUACGAAAGUAGGUCUUAGUGAUCCGGUGGUUCUGUAUGGAAGGGCCAUCGCUCAACGGAUAAAAGGUACUCUGGGGAUAACAGGCUGAUACCGCCCAAGAGUUCAUAUCGACGGCGGUGUUUGGCACCUCGAUGUCGGCUCAUCUCAUCCUGGGGCUGAAGCAGGUCCCAAGGGUAUGGCUGUUCGCCAUUUAAAGAGGUACGCGAGCUGGGUUUAGAACGUCGUGAGACAGUUCGGUCCCUAUCUACCGUGGGCGCUGGAAAUUUGAGAGGAUCUGCUCCUAGUACGAGAGGACCAGAGUGGACGAACCUCUGGUGUACCGGUUGUGACGCCAGUCGCAUCGCCGGGUAGCUAUGUUCGGAAGGGAUAACCGCUGAAAGCAUCUAAGCGGGAAGCCUACCUCAAGAUAAGAUUUCCCCGUGACUUUAUGUCACCUAAAGAGCCGUUCAAGACCAGGACGUUGAUAGGUUGGAUGUGGAAGCAUAGUGAUAUGUGAAGCUGACCAAUACUAAUUGCUCGUGAGGCUUGACUAU
rnacentral:rRNA from 1 species